UGGAAGCUAAAGAGCAAUUUUUAUUUUGAAUUUAAUAGAAAAACCCCAAGGCAGGACAACUGUUAACUGGAGCCACUGCAGAGGAGCAUAGAGAAGAGGAAGAAAACAGCUGUGCCCUGUAGGGUGGUUCUAAAGUCAGACACGUGACAGACAAGUGGCCAUGGGUCAGGGAAGGAGGCUUUAGCAGAAACGGAGGCUUCGGUGAAAUGUUGGAGGAAACUCCCAAAGCAUUAAGGAAAGUAUUCUUAGAGAAGAGGUGGAAGACAGAAAAGAGGUGACCCCACCUUUCUAAAUUGGUCCCUUGACCAAAUGAAUAAUCCAACCGAACUGGAAUGUGAAGUCUCCAACCUGGCCAAAGAUUCUAUCCCUGUGACCUGGAGUUACCUCUUCUAGCAGCAUCACCUUGCUCAAACAAUCUUUUGAUGAAGCAGAAAACAGAAACUGGUCUGGUAGGGUAGAGACCCCAAAGCAGGUGUCCUGAGAAAUGUCCUUGCUGGAGGCUAUUAAGGUCAAGGGAGUUCUGAUUCCUGGUUCCUUGCUAUCCCCUACUGUUGUCUGGAAACUAUACAGGAGGGUGGGAGGGUGGGACAGAACCGACAGGAGACACGUGAACACCUUUGUUUGGCCUAUUUGGAUUUAUCCCAUCUCGUGCCUUACCUGACUUUCUGCUACUAAUCUAUGAAAUCCCCCCAGUCUGGCAGCUUGGUGGCUCCUUGUUUCUUGGGACCCUCCCACUAUCUAGGAUCACCACCUUCUUUCCCAUAAGCUCCGUCUGUGAAUCUGAAUAAACUUUUUUUUUCUAAAACUCAUCUUCUGUCCUCCGAGAAUCUCAUUCUUUGAAAUUGAGACACAAGAUUCUGGAGGCUGCUGACUCAGGGGAGGGUCUGUGGCAGUCAGUAUUUGGGAUCCUAACUCCUGAGUUAAAAUCCAUCUGGGGCAGAAGGAACUGUUUCAUUAGAGAUCAAAGACACCCCAAACAGGACCAUGUUGAUUUUACUUUCCAGGGUGAUGACAGCAAAGAGACUCCAUUUUGAAGAGAAAGAAGGAAACAGCACCAAUGGACUCCUUUUUAUAACAAGAGCAUCAGAAAAAUCUAAAACAUACAUUGAUAAGUAAUUUGGAUGUGAAUCUAAAAUAACAAAUGCUCUAAUAGUCUUCUUGCAAAUACUGCAAAGUGAAAAUUAAAUAAAUGGAUGCAAAGGAGUCGAUGAGACAAGUCAAGUGGGCACAGCUGCACCUCAGGAUCCUUGCUUAGAGACAGCCUGCGUCAUCUCCUUAAUUUCUCUCCUAGACUAAUGAGCUAUGGAGUCUGCCUGAGUCUACCCUGCAACAAUGUGUUCACAGGUAUGUCUGAAGACUAUUGGCUUUUUACAUGGCUAGGGAUUCAAAUUUAGGUCUUCACAUUUGCACAGCAAGUGCUGUUGUCCUUUGAAUCAUCUCUUGAGCCCCCUGAAAUUACAUUCCUUAAGACAAUUUUAGUUCCCUUAAUCUCUUAAAGUUUUGUCACAGAAUCUUCAUUUUCCAUAAAGUCUGGAUAUAGUUGCUGACAGGACACUGGUAGGUCACUGCUCCCUUAUUCUUUAGUCAUCUCUAAGCCUUCUGGUCUCAUCUUUAGAGAUUCUCCUUCAUGACCCUUAUGCUUGACUUAUUUCUAUUAUUAUAAAUCUAAU
rnacentral:sRNA from 1 species